AUUGAACGCUGGCGGCAGGCCUAACACAUGCAAGUCGAGCGAGCGGCGGACGGGCGAGUAAUGUAUGGGUACUGCUCGCUCGAGGGGGAUAACUACCGGAAUCGGUAGCUAAUUCCUCAUAUUAUCGGAUAACCUACAUGGGAUUAGCUAGUAGGUGAGGUAAUGGCUCACCUAGGCGACGAUCCCUAGCUGGUCUGUGAGGAUGAUCAGCCACACUGGAACUGAGACACGGCCCAGACUCCUACGGAGGCAGCAGUGGGGAAUAUUGCACAAUGGGCGCAAGCCUGAUGCAGCCAUGCCGCGUGUAUGAAGAAGGCCCUAGGGUUGUAAAGUACUUUCAGUCGGGAGGCGUUACCGGCAGAAGAAGCACCGGCUAACUCCGUGCCAGCCGCCGCGGUAAUAC
rnacentral:rRNA from 1 species